UAGACCCUAAUGCCAAUUUCACUUCUGAUGACUUUCGCCAUCAUGCAUCCGAUGCCGUCAAAUCCAUCCUCGCGCGUGAUCGACUACCAAUCAUCGCCGGUGGUUCGAACUCUUUCAUCGAGGCUUUGGCAAAUGAUGAUCCUGAAUUUCGAUUGAGGUACGAAUGUUGCUUCCUAUGGGUGGAUGUAUCUUUGCCUGUGCUGCAUUCAUUUGUAUCUGAAAGAGUCGAUCGAAUGGUGAAAGCGGGAUUGGUUAACGAGGUGAGAAGCAUGUUUGAUCCUACCAAAACUAACUAUUCACAAGGAAUCAGGCGAGCAAUUGGUGUCCCUGAAUUGGAUCAAUAUUUCCGCAAUGAAGCAGUCGUGGACGCCAAAACACGAGCCAAGCUGCUCGACGUAGCUUUUGCAAAAAUUAAAGAAAAUACUUGUAUGCUAGCGUGUCGUCAAUUGCAAAAAAUCCAUCGACUUUAUAAUCAAUGGAGUUGGAAUAUGCAUCGCAUAGACGCUACAGAAGUUUUUCUAAACAGCGGAGAAGAAGCAUGGGAGAAGCUCGUGGAGGUGCCUAGCUCCAUGAUCGUGGAGGAAUUCCUUUACUAUGGCGAUCAUAUGGCUACCAUUGUACCAUCAGAGACCGUGCCUGUGAUGGCUUCCACGGGGAUGCCAAUUUCUAUUCCUGCGAUGGCAGCGGCGGUAACUCGAUAGAGGUGCUGAGGGACCCAUAGAAUCUUGGUCUUGACUCUUGAUUGGUCUUUCCUUGACAAUUUUGGUAUUUGCAAGUGUGUAUUA
rnacentral:misc_RNA from 1 species